UGAUUAGAAAGAGAUAAUUGGUUAUAGCUCAGAAAAUUUCAGAAUCUUACAAACUUUCAUAUGAUUUCAACUAACAAAGUCCAAGAGGACUUCACCACCUAAAUUGUGGCCAAAUGCUUAAGAUGACCUAGUUUUAUUCAGGAAAGCAAACUCUUUCUAUGAAUACGGCAAGAUAAAAAUAACAAUAACAAAAUAUGCAUAUCUACUAUCCCUACUCAUGUGCUUCAGUUCCUCCUAUUGCCGGUGAUAUAUAUGUUGCUCUAGCUAUGAACAAUUAUGCAUCUUGAAAAUUUACCAACUUUGUGUCCGGAGAAGAAAAUCUAACAACUUUGUACUAAAAGUGCAUGAAUAGAUCAUUCCAAAAACUACAAAGAACAA
rnacentral:misc_RNA from 1 species